AUUGAACGCUGGCGGCAUGCCUUACACAUGCAAGUCGAACGGCAGCGGGGGAGAAGCUUGCUUUUCCUGCCGGCGAGUGGCGAACGGGUGAGUAAUACAUCGGAACGUGCCCUGUAGUGGGGGAUAACUAGUCGAAAGAUUAGCUAAUACCGCAUACGACCUGAGGGUGAAAGUGGGGGACCGCAAGGCCUCACGCUAUAGGAGCGGCCGAUGUCUGAUUAGCUAGUUGGUGGGGUAAAGGCCUACCAAGGCGACGAUCAGUAGCUGGUCUGAGAGGACGAUCAGCCACACUGGGACUGAGACACGGCCCAGACUCCUACGGGAGGAAGCAGUGGGGAAUUUUGGACAAUGGGCGAAAGCCUGAUCCAGCAAUGCCGCGUGUGUGAAGAAGGCCUUCGGGUUGUAAAGCACUUUUGUCCGGAAAGAAAUGGCUCUGGUUAAUACCUGGGGUCGAUGACGGUACCGGAAGAAUAAGGACCAGCUAACUACGUGCCAGCAGCCGCAGUAA
rnacentral:rRNA from 1 species